CGAUGAAGCCCAGCUUGCUGGGUGGAUUAGUGGCGAACGGGUGAGUAACACGUGAGUAACCUGCCCUUGACUCUGGGAUAAGCCUGGGAAACUGGGUCUAAUACCGGAUAGGAACGUCCACCGCAUGGUGGGUGUUGGAAAGAUUUAUCGGUCAUGGAUGGACUCGCGGCCUAUCAGCUUGUUGGUGAGGUAAUGGCUCACCAAGGCGACGACGGGUAGCCGGCCUGAGAGGGUGACCGGCCACACUGGGACUGAGACACGGCCCAGACUCCUACGGGAGGCAGCAGUGGGGAAUAUUGCACAAUGGGCGAAAGCCUGAUGCAGCGACGCCGCGUGAGGGAUGACGGCCUUCGGGUUGUAAACCUCUUUCAGUAGGGAAGAAGCGAAAGUGACGGUACCUGCAGAAGAAGCACCGGCUAACUACGUGCCAGCAGCCGCGGUAAUACGUAGGGUGCGAGCGUUAUCCGGAAUUAUUGGGCGUAAAGAGCUCGUAGGCGGUUUGUCGCGUCUGUCGUGAAAGUCCGGGGCUUAACCCCGGAUCUGCGGUGGGUACGGGCAGACUAGAGUGCAGUAGGGGAGACUGGAAUUCCUGGUGUAGCGGUGGAAUGCGCAGAUAUCAGGAGGAACACCGAUGGCGAAGGCAGGUCUCUGGGCUGUAACUGACGCUGAGGAGCGAAAGCAUGGGGAGCGAACAGGAUUAGAUACCCUGGUAGUCCAUGCCGUAAACGUUGGGCACUAGGUGUGGGGACCAUUCCACGGUUUCCGCGCCGCAGCUAACGCAUUAAGUGCCCCGCCUGGGGAGUACGGCCGCAAGGCUAAAACUCAAAGGAAUUGACGGGGGCCCGCACAAGCGGCGGAGCAUGCGGAUUAAUUCGAUGCAACGCGAAGAACCUUACCAAGGCUUGACAUGUUCUCGAUCGCCGUAAAAGAUACGGUUUUCCCCUUUGGGGGCGGGAUCACAGGUGGUUGCAUGGGUUGUCCUCCGCCUCGUGUCCUGAAGAUGUUUGGGUUUAAGUCC
rnacentral:rRNA from 1 species